GGAAUACUCAUAUGUUGGUCUGCCUAUUUUCACUGUAAAUAACACUCACGCUCACUGAAGUUGGUAAAUAAAACAAAAGCCGCUGAUGAUGACAGGAUCGGAUAGGAUAAUCAGGAAAUUUAUUAAAGAAUGGCGUGAUCAGGCGGACCCCACGCAGUACCAGAUGAGACCAGUGUUUUCACAUCAACUACUACAUUCUACAACUAAGGCAAUAUCCUCACUAAAUUUAUUUAUUUUCCACCUUUUUAUUACAAUAAAAAUAAAUUAACUUGCAACUAU